GACGAACGCUGGCGGCGUGCUUAACACAUGCAAGUCGAACGGAAAGGCCCUGCUUGCAGGGUACUCGAGUGGCGAACGGGUGAGUAACACGUGUGUGAUCUGCCCUGCACUUCGGGAUAAGCCUGGGAAACUGGGUCUAAUACCGGAUAGGAGCCAUUUUUAGUGUGAUGGUUGGAAAGUUUUUUCGGUGUAGGAUGAGCUCGCGGCCUAUCAGCUUGUUGGUGGGGUAAUGGCCUACCAAGGCGGCGACGGGUAGCCGGCCUGAGAGGGUGGACGGCCACAUUGGGACUGAGAUACGGCCCAGACUCCUACGGGAGGCAGCAGUGGGGAAUAUUGCACAAUGGGCGCAAGCCUGAUGCAGCGACGCCGCGUGGGGGAUGACGGCCUUCGGGUUGUAAACUACUUUCGCUAGGGACGAAGCUUUUGUGACGGUACCUAGAUAAGAAGCACCGGCUAACUACGUG
rnacentral:rRNA from 1 species